rnacentral:rRNA from 1 species
CCAGCUAUCACCAAGCUCGAUAGGCUUUUCACCUCUACCUAAAAAUCUUCCCACUAUUUUGCUACAUAGACGGGUUGAUUCAUUGAAAUGCUUCAGGUAGCUCGUGUGGUUCGGGUUCUAGCUAAAGCUAGCC